UUAAUUAAUCUGUGAAAGGGGGCAUGGCUAAAGCAUAGUGGGCAGCCCAAACCAUGACCAAUGACAAAGGAACUCUCUGCUGAGUUCAAUGAAACCUUACACAAUAGUCUACAUGAAACGGGUCUUUAGUUAUAAAAAGAGGUGUGGUUAAAGCACAGGGGCCGGGUCAAACCAAUCACCAAUGAAAAAGGAACUCUCUGCUGACUUCAGUGAUACCUCACACAAGACUCUACCUUAAAUGGUUCAAAAGCCAUAAAAAUUGGCGUGGCCUGAAUAUAUGGGCGUGGUUCAAGUAUAGGGGGCGGCUCAGUAUCACAUGUAGACCACACAUUCUAAGUUUCAUGUAAAUCGGAUGUUGUUUGUCAUAGAAGGCUGAUUUCUUGUUGCCAGCAGGGGGAGCUAUGACCAAAAGUCAACUUUUGCUUAUAGAUGUCCUCAGGCCUGGACCCUUGUCAAUCUUGAGAAAUUUCGGCCAAAUUGUACAACGUACACUCAAGUUAUAACAGCUU